rnacentral:ncRNA from 2 species
UUCCCUGAGGAGCGUUGCAACGGAACCGUUCCAUCGGACCCCGACUUUGUCGGGGACCCCCGGUCCGCCAGGCUCAGGGCCAUCUUCCGCAACCGCGCUCGUUAACC